rnacentral:rRNA from 1 species
CCUACGGUGAGCAGCAGUGGGGAAUAUUGGACAAUGGGGGGAACCCUGAUCCAGCGACGCCGCGUGAGUGAAGAAGUAUUUCGGUAUGUAAAGCUCUAUCAGCAGGGAAGAAAGAAAUGACGGUACCUGACUAAGAAGCCCCGGCUAACUACGUGCCAGCAGCCGCGGUAAUACGUAGGGGGCAAGCGUUAUCCGGAUUUACUGGGUGGAAAGGGAGCGUAGACGGCGAUGCAAGUCUGAAGUGAAAGGCGGGGGCCCAACCCCUGGACUGCUUUGGAAACUGUAUGGCUGGAGUGCAGGAGAGGUAAGUGGAAUUCCUAGUGUAGCGGUGAAAUGCGUAGAUAUUAGGAGGAACACCAGUGGCGAAGGCGGCUUACUGGACUGUAACUGACGUUGAGGCUCGAAAGCGUGGGGAGCAAACAGGAUUAGAUACCCCAGUAGUC